rnacentral:rRNA from 1 species
GUUGUAUAGUCAAGUAAUUAAGUGCAUGUGGUGGAUGCCUUGGCAGUCAGAGGCGAUGAAAGACGUGAUAGCCUGCGAAAAGCUCCGGGGAGGCGGCAAAUAUCCUUUGAUCCGGAGAUGUCUGAAUGGGGGAACCCACCUACUUUAAGGUAGGUAUUGCAACAUGAAUACAUAGUGUUGCAAGGCGAACGAGGGGAAGUGAAACAUCUCAGUACCCUUAGGAAAAGAAAUCAAUUGAGAUUCCCUCAGUAGCGGCGAGCGAACGGGGAUCAGCCCAUUAAGUUAUGUGUGUUUUAGUGGAACGCUCUGGGAAGUGCGAACGUAGAGGGUGAUAUUCCCGUACACGAAAGGGCACACAUAAUGAUGACGAGUAGGGCGAGGCACGUGAAACCUUGUCUGAAUAUGGGGGGACCAUCCUCCAAGGCUAAAUACUCCUGACUGACCGAUAGUGAACCAGUACCGUGAGGGAAAGGCGAAAAGAACCCCUGUGAGGGGAGUGAAAUAGAUCCUGAAACCGCAUGCAUACAAGCAGUGGGAGCACCUUCGUGGUGUGACUGCGUACCUUUUGUAUAAUGGGUCAGCGACUUAUAUUCAGUAGCGAGGUUAACCGUAUAGGGGAGCCGUAGAGAAAUCGAGUCUUAAUAGGGCGUUUAGUUGCUGGGUAUAGACCCGAAACCAGGCGAUCUAUCCAUGAGCAGGUUGAAGGUUGGGUAACACUAACUGGAGGACCGAACCCACUGUCGUUGAAAAGCCAGGGGAUGACUUGUGGAUAGGGGUGAAAGGCUAAUCAAGCCUGGUGAUAGCUGGUUCUCCCCGAAAGCUAUUUAGGUAGCGCCUCGGACGAAUACCAUAGGGGGUAGAGCACUGUUUCGGCUAGGGGGUCAUCCCGACUUACCAAACCGAUGCAAACUCCGAAUACCUAUGAGUACUAUCCGGGAGACAGACUGCGGGUGCUAACGUCCGUAGUCAAGAGGAAAACAAUCCAGACCGCCAGCUAAGGCCCCAAAAUCAUAGUUAAGUGGGAAACGAUGUGGGAAGGCAUAGACAGCUAGGAGGUUGGCUUAGAAGCAGCCACCCUUUAAAGAAAGCGUAAUAGCUCACUAGUCGAGUCGGCCUGCGCGGAAGAUGUAACGGGGCUAAAACUAUGUGCCGAAGCUGCGGAUGUAUACUUUGUAUACGUGGUAGGGGAGCGUUCUGUAAGCCGAUGAAGGUGUGUUGAGAAGCAUGCUGGAGGUAUCAGAAGUGCGAAUGCUGACGUGAGUAACGACAAAACGGGUGAAAAACCCGUUCGCCGAAAGACCAAGGGUUCCAGUCCAACGUUAAUCGGGGCUGGGUGAGUCGACCCCUAAGGCGAGGCCGAAAGGCGUAGUCGAUGGGAAAAUGGUUAAUAUUCCAUUACUUCUGUGUAAUGCGAUGAGAGGACGGAGAAGGCUAAAUCAGCCUGGCGUUGGUUGUCCAGGUGAAAGGAUGUAGGCAUGUAUCUUAGGCAAAUCCGGGGUACUCUAUGCUGAGAUCUGAUAGCAAGCUGUACUUGUACAGCGAAGUGGUUGAUGCCAUGCUUCCAGGAAAAGUCUCUAAGCUUCAGUUACACAGGAAUCGUACCCGAAACCGACACAGGUGGUCAGGUCGAGUAGACCAAGGCGCUUGAGAGAACUCUGCUGAAGGAACUAGGCAAAAUGGUACCGUAACUUCGGGAGAAGGUACGCUGUUGUUGGUGAUGGAACUCGCUUCCUGAGCUGACGACAGCCGCAGAAACCAGGCCGCUGCAACUGUUUAUUAAAAACAUAG